UGAAAUUCUGAACAUAUUCAAAAACUAUGUUACAAAGACAUCAAUAUUGGAUGACUUCGAUUUUUAUGAGAGUCGCCAGAAGGUGAUGCAAGAGAAAAGACCAAGGCCAUUCAUACCCCAUUCUGAUCACAAACAGGUUAGUCUCAUACUGUUUUUCGUAUUCUUUAUUAUUUAGGUAGUGCACACAUUCUCUCAUUAGAGUUUUAACCCUUCAAAUCUUUUUUUUUUCUUUGGUGAGUGGGCAUUCAAUAGUGGACCAUGUUGUCAUUAUUAUCAUUGGAGGUUUGAUAAUUAUAUUUGCUGUUAGAAUCAAUGGCUAAUAGCGUGAAGUUGUUAAUCUUAAGAUUCUAUAAUUGAUUCUCUUCCCUUAUAAAAUAUUAAAGAAUAAAGAAGGGUUCUCCAUACAACUAAGGUAGUGGAGAUGUUAUGUCUUUAAAGAUCUGGAAUUGGGAUUUGACUUUAUUCAAUUUUAAAAAAGUGUUAUAAUCAUGAUAGGUUUCUUUUUUUUUUCUUGUAACAUCUCCUUCAGACAUGCACGCCUUUUCUCUUACCAGUGUGUUAUUCUUAACAUGAUUUGCUUAUAUUUUUCACAGCAGAAAACAGAUGAUUUGAUUCCUGGUUUUCAGUCGAUGGAUAUAUCUGCUACAAAAAACAUGGUCUAUACCCAGGUUGGAGACAACACGAAAGAAUGACGGGAGAGAAGCCCUGAUGGACUCUGUU
rnacentral:lncRNA from 1 species